rnacentral:misc_RNA from 1 species
GUAAUAAUUAAUUGUUAUCAGAACAGGUAAUGCUAAAUGCAAGUUGGUUCUUAAGUUCCAGCGGCGGGUUGACCCCGCCGAAGGAGAAUAAUAGGUACUCGUAGAGAAGGGUUAGGUCAGCCCCGCGCCGGUUUCCCGGACACGGAGGCGUCACUAUAGAAUGACUGUCGCUCACGCCGAAGCGCUCACGGCAGCCAAAGGUAAUGAUCCUUCCGCAGGUUCACCUACGGAAA